ensembl:lncRNA
UAACCCCACACACCUUACAUAUAUAUGUGUAUGUAUUUAAUCUUAUAUAUAGAAUUUCAAAAAAACAACUUCAUGUCUGACUUCACUUUUCAAUGACAUUAUAACAUGAAAAAUAUAACAAUCUCAUUUUCAGAUGUUUUAUUUUCAUGGAAUUUUCAAAAUACAUUCCUCUAGAUUAAUAAAACCUGUUUUGACAUGGACAUUGCUAAUGUGGGCUUCCACCAUUUUCAACAGAUCAACUGGGUGGGACUUCCUUUGGGUUGAAGAACAAUCACAUAAUUCCAUACAGGUUAUCAGGAGAUCUGCAAAUGUAUUAUACUUUUUAACAAACAUUUCAUAACUGCAGGUGACAGUAAAUUUAAAGCUUUAAAAGCUGUUCAGAUAGCAAAACACUCCAGAUGGCAAUAGUCACACUUUCAGUAGGUAAUCACUUGUAAAAUAAUUGACACCCUUGUUAAAGAUGAGCUUAAAUGGCUGUAUAAAGUAAACAACAUGGGUAAUGAAACAUAUUUUAUGCAAAAAAUAUGUGAAACCUUCCAUGGCUUCCUUUUCACUGUGGUUGAAAAAUGAGGUAACACAUUUGUCACUUAUUACUACGAGGAAAGGCAAUGAAGUCACAAACGAAGAGACAAAUGAUUGUGAGAGAGGUAAAACAACAUGUAAAAGCUGAAGACAAGUACUUUCUGGAAUUAGAUAGAUAUUAGAUAACCUAUUUACCCAAAGAACUCUAAAGUUGUUCCUUUGACACGCCAACCAAAAACAGACCGGCCAUUAGCAAUUUGACCAACUGCCAGAAGGUUUGUUCAAUCUUCACCUGAGUGAGCCAGUCUAAAUUGGGAUAUUUGCAGAAGAUCAUUAUUUGGUUAAUAAUGUAUGUCUCAAAUAAUAAAUUGGGCCAGUGGUGACCUAGAGAAAACAAAGGCAUGGUGUUUUGUUAAAAAUGCUUAGGCAGAUAUCUGGUCCUAGUGUAUUUCCUAAGCGCAAAAAUCCAGGGAAAUGUAAUCAUUACAAAGAUCCAUGAUAAUGAAAAUGCAAACAUCUAUUCUGACCAACAGUAACACAGAGACAAACCACGUCUGAUGUAAGUUUUUAUUAAAAAAAAAAUCAAAGAAAUUAACAGAAAUAAAGCUUAAGUAACAAUCUACUGAAAAAAGUAUUUUUGGCUUUAACAAACACUCGAAAACAAAAAACACAGAGUAAGGUUUCCCUAAACUGGACAUACAAGUAACCACUGGCAAAUUUGUGGCACAUGUAAAACAAAAUAAAAAAUGUACUCUCAUAUAGAUAUCUCUAUGAAAAUCUUGUAUUUCUUCAAACUGUCUGUACAAAACUUUUCUCUUCAUAAAUUAUUACUUUUCAAUAUAACUUAAUGACUGUUUUACAUGAUGGUUAAUUUAAGCAUUUAUUUCUUUAUACACCUUUUAAACUCUUGACCCAGGCGCAGUAUGGCACUUGUUUCAGACAUUACUAGCCUCGUCCAGAACUAGGCAUCAGAUGUAGACAUUACUAGCAGCAUAACCUCAGUACUCGACUGUAUUAGUAAUCAGUCUCAGGCAUUCAACAGGAAUCUCAAGUAUAGUUACAAUGGCCCUUUACUUUGGUAACUCAACUCAAGCUGACUGCAGAGGAAAUGCUGCUGAAAGUCUGUCUAGACUCUGACAAAGCAGCAAUGAUGAUGUUCUCAGGAGUCCAAGAAAUACCACAACCUUCAGCUUUAGCUUUUGCUUCAACCAAGUUUAUUAGCCUCUGGAAUCUCUUGUGAUGAAAGCAGCCGUUCUACUUUUGAAACUAUGAAACUGAAUGUCUGAACACAACUAAAACACGCUCAACGCACAAUGUUCUCAUAAUGAUUAUACGUCAUAAAAAAGUAAUUUUUUUUGGUUGAACAAAAUCAAAAAGUAUUAAAAAAAACCUGAAAGGAAACAAGUGAAUAUGGCCAGCUCCUGAGCAUGGCGUUUGGUCUGGAAGGGCGGGCUGGACCUGCUAACCCUGCCCAAUACAGAGGAGAAAGGAAACUCUGAGGUAGAUAACUGGUCAGUCUGUCCGACCAUCAGGUCAAAACACAGGCUUCUGGUAGACAACUUAAUCAGAAAGCCUGUUCAAAUCUACUAAAAUCCAAAAUAAUAAAACCUUUAGCAGUAACAUAUUUUGUACAAUGUAAAAUGUUAUUCAUGUAUUUUUGUAAUUUCAUAGUUUCAAACGGUCUUCUUUCCUGGUUUAUUCAUUGUUCUAACAUUAAAUUUUCUUCUGUAGUGACGAUAUCUGUAUGUUGGACCCAAAUCAUCCUUAAUGCUUGUUUGUGUCCAUACUUUCAUAAAACCUAUGACAACUGAAUGUAAAUGUACAAAAAAGGCACAUUCUCCAAGCUGCAAUCUUGUCUGGCAAAAAGUCAAUUACAUCCUGGUUAGAGAGAGAGUAAUGACACUAUUUCCUCAAUUUACUAGCUCACAGUUCUUUGGUGAGGUAAAUUAUAAUUGAAAGUGCCGAGCUUGUUUGUUUUCUAUCAAAGAGCUAGGUGCAAUAAAAUCUACAUAUUCAUUUCUGUUUUUCCCCAACUCAAACUCUGGAGCUCAUUGAACGUUUGCCCAAGUUGUACUGGAAGGCUUUGAUGCACAAUCUUAAAACCAAGUUUGCCUGUUUGCAUUUUAACUGAAGUGGGAAAAAAAACAUCCUGCCAAUCUGACAGAGAACAAAAACCCUCCAAAAGACACAUCCACACCCUCCCUUUUUCUAUCCCCACCCCACCCAAUCCGAAGAAGUAUAUUUUAGUCUAAUCUACAACACCAAGUAAUAAAAAAGGCAAGAUUCAAAAUGUGAUAAUUCAGCAGAAAUUCUACCACAUUCCAACAACCAGAGACAUGUAUGUCCCUCUGAUUAUACAAACAUUACAUCCUAUUAAAAAAUCAUAAUCAGAUUCAGAGGGUCAUUUCACAAUUUCUUUUUCAAAGUCUUCUACUUUAGAUUUGAUUUCAGAGGGGAAAUGCAAAACACCUAAACACAGCAGACUUAAUUAGCAAUAUCCAAAGGAAAAGCCCUAUUAGCUGAUUUACAAGGCAAUAGCUCUCAACAUUUCUCGUAGAUUUCUAGCCUCGGAGGUUGCCUAUACAGCUACUGUAUAGAAACUUUUAAGGCAAAUUGUAUGAGACAGAAAGAUCAGUCUAGACUACUAAGAUAAAUCACUUUACAAGAAGAAACAUUGAACACCAUAGCAACACUCACACAGCAAGCACAAAACAUCAUUUUCAAAAUGUCUGGCUAAUAAAUCUUCAGAAAAAAUCUAUUUCAGUACAAAAUAAGAGAAAAACAAAAUGAAAAUCAUAGAAAAUAUUAACAAAAUACAUCUUCACUAUCAUGCACCUUAAACAACAAGUCACAUGAUUCUUUAGAGGUUCUUGCAUCCAUGUGACAUUCUGUGGUAAAAAAUAAACGUUCUUUAUUAAAAUAAAACUAUUUUUUCUUCUUUUUUAUCUUCAGAAUUAAUAUCCUUUGAUGAAAUUAAUCACUUAUUUGCACCCCACGGAACGUGAGGUUAUACCAAAAUAGUCUCACUUUUUUCACAAAACAAAAGGAAAUCGUUGCAGAACCUGUGCAAAAUGGUGAUAAAUCCUUAACGCACGAUCCAUCAUCAGAGGAAGCCAUGAUUGUUUUCUGCUGUCUUCUCGGCUUCUAUCACACCUGAGAGGAAACAGUGAGACAAGUCAGAUGAGUGUCAAUCUAUCAUAUAAAACAUUUGCCUAUAACUAAAGGCUGGCCUGGAAACAUGUGUCCACAAUGGCAUGCGAGCUC